rnacentral:rRNA from 1 species
CCCCUAAUGACGCUGCGGCAUGCCUUACACAUGCAAGUCGAACGGCAGCACGGGGGCAACCCUGGUGGCGAGUGGCGAACGGGUGAGUAAUACAUCGGAACGUGUCCUGUAGUGGGGGAUAGCCCGGCGAAAGCCGGAUUAAUACCGCAUACGCUCUACGGAGGAAAGGGGGGGAUCUUAGGACCUCCCGCUACAGGGGCGGCCGAUGGCAGAUUAGCUAGUUGGUGGGGUAAAGGCCUACCAAGGCGACGAUCUGUAGCUGGUCUGAGAGGACGACCAGCCACACUGGGACUGAGACACGGCCCAGACUCCUACGGGAGGCAGCAGUGGGGAAUUUUGGACAAUGGGGGAAACCCUGAUCCAGCAAUGCCGCGUGUGUGAAGAAGGCCUUCGGGUUGUAAAGCACUUUUGUCCGGAAAGAAAACCUCUGGGUUAAUACCCCGGGGGGAUGACGGUACCGGAAGAAUAAGCACCGGCUAACUACGUGCCAGCAGCCGCGGUAAUACGUAGGGUGCAAGCGUUAAUCGGAAUUACUGGGCGUAAAGCGUGCGCAGGCGGUCCGCUAAGACAGAUGUGAAAUCCCCGGGCUUAACCUGGGAACUGCAUUUGUGACUGGCGGGCUAGAGUAUGGCAGAGGGGGGUAGAAUUCCACGUGUAGCAGUGAAAUGCGUAGAGAUGUGGAGGAAUACCGAUGGCGAAGGCAGCCCCCUGGGCCAAUACUGACGCUCAUGCACGAAAGCGUGGGGAGCAAACAGGAUUAGAUACCCUGGUAGUCCACGCCCUAAACGAUGUCAACUAGUUGUCGGGUCUUCAUUGACUUGGUAACGUAGCUAACGCGUGAAGUGACCGCCUGGAGUA